rfam:Brachypodium distachyon strain Bd21 chromosome 2, whole genome shotgun sequence.
AAAAUACUCCCUCCGUCCAACAAAGGAUGUCUCAACUUUGACUAAAUUUGAAUGCAUCUAUACCCUAAGUCAUGUCUAGAUACAUCCAAAUUUUAACAAACUCAAGACAUCUUUUGUUGGACAGAGGUAGUAUUUA